rnacentral:lncRNA from 1 species
UGGGAGCCCAGGAUAGGGCCAUAGGGUGGGGAGUGAGGCAUCUGCCUCUGCACACUGUCUCCCCUGCCAGGAUCAGAUGGGAGCCAGGGAGGACUUCUUCCAGGGAAAAGAAGCUGAGCAAUAUCAUCACUGGCUGCCCAUCCCAUCUCAUCCCUAGGAACAACAAGACCUAUUUGCCUUUUGCCACAAAUCUUUGUGGAUCAAGUCCCCCCAGUUUGCAAAGCCAGCCUUUACUUGGAAGAUGGUCCUGAAAAACAAAAGUGAGGAAAUGGGGAAAUGAGACAAGGAAGGUAGAAAAGCCAUCCAAGGUGGCAUUAAUGAGCUCACUCCCACUUGGUGAAUCGCUGAGAAAUGCUGUGAAACAAACUCGGAAUCCUCCCAGUUGAGAAUGUAAAGCUGCAACAUUUGUCCAUCAACUCCCAUGCCCCAGUGUUUGACUUUUACCCCCACAGCCCUGGUCCCUGCCUGUGUUCAAACAAGUAAGCUCAUGUGAUACCACAGAAAGCCUCAGGCGGAGAAGAGAUGCCCAGAUGUGAGAUAUUAUGGAGAUGAUAACACACAGGAAGCCGUCCUGCCCUACGGCUGCAGGAGAACUCAGAUGGGCCAAGGGAGCACCAAGGGGUCACCAGCAGUGUCUGACACACAUCUCAGUGCAAUCUAGUGAAUGAAUCAGAGCUUCCAUCCCCAGGACAAUCAGUGGAACCACUCUAUUCCUCUUCAUUGAGGACCUGAGAAACUUGCCAAGUUGCUUAUAAAUGUGUUCAAAGCACAGAGCAAGUUCAGAGAAUCAUAUUUUCUCUAAAUCCUUAUUCAUUUCAGGAAAAGACAUUUUCUCAUUAGAAGACAUUUAACAGGGGUCUUUAAGAUUUCAAGAUCAUAAAUAUCAGCCAUGGGCAUCCUACACUCAUGUGGUUUGAGAGUUGCUGAUUUACUCUCACUAGGAGAAUGUGGCUAACCAAAUUGAGAGCCACUGAGACACCUAAUUGUGGGGAGAAAUUAUGGAUUUUCCUAAAUGAAAGAAAAUAGUCAUGAAGUAGAAAUACACUCUUUUUUUUUUUUUUUUUUUUUUUUUUGAGACAGAAUCUCACUCUGUCACCCAGGCUGGAGUGCAGUGGCACCAUCGCGGCUCACUGCAACCUCCGCCUCCUGGGUUCAAGCAAUUCUCCUGCCUCAGCCUACUGAGUAGCUGGAAUUACAGGGGCCCGCCACCACGCCCAGCUAAUUUUUGUAUUUUUAGUAGAGAUGGGGUUUCACCAUGUUGGCCAGGCUGGUCUCGAACUCCUGACCUCAACUGAUCCGCCCACCUCGGCCUCCCAAAGUGCUGGGAUUACAGGCGUGAGCCACCAUGCCUGGCCUGAAAUACACUUUUUCAAAUGCUGAUUUUUUUUAUAAUCAUGGGUACUUACGAAGAACAAUUUAAAUACCAAUUUACAAUGAAUGGGAAGAAUUUUCCACCAGAAAAAUAGUGAAAUUAAACUUAGAUGAAUAGAUGCUAUUUGGUGGAAUGUGGCAAAAACAUGUUUAUCCUUCACGUAGAGGUGUCAAUCCUCUUCGCAUCUGGAUAGGAUCUUUUGAGGACCCACUACCCGUGAGCUGACACACUUGCCAGACACCAAGUCCUGUGGGUGACUGCUGGGCCGGGGUGGUUAAGGCGUGGUUGUGUCUCCACUGUUUUUCAUCCCACUUGCAUAUAGUAGGCUCUGAGGCCACAAGGAAUGGUGGAGCCACAUCAGACUCCUGUGCCAGUGGCAGAUAAACUUCAUGUGUUAUCUCUGGAUUCAGGCAAUUUAUCUCACUGAAAAAUUGUGGUGCUUGCUGUUCCAGAAACUGGAAUAACCUUCAUUGAUAUGGAAAAUAUCAACCUUCAACCUAAAUAAUGGCUCUUGGGAUAUGACUUUGGCAGAGAUUCAGUAAGGUCCUUGUGAUCCCCAUGUGUAGAAGAGAGCAAGGGAAACAUCAGAUUUCUUCAUAUUAGAGUGGAAUGAUGGUGCCUGAGCUAUGAUGUGAUUUUUCUGUUAUUUCGCAGGUUUAUAUUUAUUGCCAUGAUCUAGUCAGCAGAAGAUAUUUUCUCUUUUCUUAAAUUACGGAUCUGCAAAACUUCAGCAAUGUUUAAAUUUUUCAUGUAAACAGAAUGGGUUUUUGAAAUACAGUUCUUUCAGAAAAAAAAAAGAAAUAUGGCUCUUUCAAAAUCAUGGUGAAGACUUAGCUAGAAAGUAAAUUUGAAUAUGAAGUUUAUUCAAGAGGCAUCCUGAUGUCAAAGGCAUUUGACUGUGCAUUGUUUUAUUAGUUAUAUUGCUACAUACAAACCACCCCCAAAACUUUACAGCUAUAAAUAAACCAUUUAUUUAGCUCAUGUUUUUGUGGGUUGGCAAUUUGGGCCUGGCUCAGUCAGGCUGUUCUUCUAAUCCGUUUCUGACUUAGCUGCAUCUCAGCUGGGCUCAUGCACGCAUCUGCAGCCAAGCGGCAGGUCACUUGGGUGCUGCUUGUCUCGAGUGGCAUCACUUACGUGGCUGGAGGAUGACGAUGGUCCACUUGUAUGACAGGAGUAAUGAGGCUGUGCAUCUCUGCCAUCCAACAGGCUAGCCCAGGAUUGCUUGGAAUGGGCAUGGUUCCCAGAGAGAGAGGGGAAGCAUGCCUGUCCUCUUGAGGCAUAGGCUCUGAGAUGGCACAGUGACAUCUUGGGGGUUCUGUAUUGGCCAAAGGAAGUCACAAAGCCAGACCUGAUUCAAGAGGUAGAGAAGUAGGACUCAUCUUGGGAGGAGCUACAAAGUCUCAUUGUAAAGGACCACACACACCAGGAGGCAUGGGAAAUUGUACCCAUUUUUGCAAUCUACUCCAAGUCUAGAUUUUUCUCUUUCUCUCCCUAGAAACAACUACCCGUGAGCAUUCAAAUUUGUAUCAAUUGUCUAUAAUUAGGCCCUCUCCUAAUUUGCAUAUCUUCCCCCAGAACAAGAAAAAUCUAUUCUCUUUAUUAAGAUAUUCAGUGUCAAUUGUCACUUGAGAAAGCUCCUUGGAGGCCUCAUCUGUAACUCUAUGGGUUUAUCAAACAUUUAUCUGAAAAACAUAACUUUGUUCAGAAAAAGGCAGGUGGUAGUUUGGGAUUGUCCAGCAAUACAUAUUAUGUAUUUUUUGAUAUUGUAUUUCUUUCUAUUGAGAAAACUAAUUCUAUAAUUCUACUAUAUUUUUCCUCAUGAAAGGGUGGGAAAAUAUGAAACACAACUAAACCUCUUCCAACUCAUGUAGCUGGAUCUUUGAUUGUGACUUCAUCUUCAUUUAUGUUGGAUGUGACUCAUGUUUAUCUAGCCCUUUGGAAUAUUGCUUUGGGGACAAAUGAGCAUGUUUAGAAUAUGUCUGAAAUUCAUGUAAUAUCAAGAGAAAUUUUUUUUUCUAUCUUUGCCAGUGUUGUGGAAAUAUAUAAUUAAAAACAAAAUAUUCUCCCAACUCAGAAAACCUCUUCACAAAGGUAAAAGAAAUAAAAUAGUUUCAUUUUUAUUUUUAAUUUAAUUUUUUGAGACAGGGUUUCACUCUGUCACCCAAGCUGGAGUACAAUGGCACGAUCUUGGCUCACUGCAAUGUUCGCCUCCUGGAUUCAGGCAAUUCUCAUGCCUCAGCCUCCCAAGUAGCUGGGAUUACAGGCAUGCACCACCAGACCCGGCUAAGUUUUGUAUUCUUUAGUACAGAGAGGGUUUUGCCAUAUUGGCCAGGCUAGUUUCAAACUCCUGGCCUCAAGCGAUCCUCCUACCCCAGCCUCCCAAAGUGCUGGGAUUACCAGCAUGAGCCCCAACUUCCAGCUGAGAAAUAAAAUAGUUUUAAUAAGCACCCAACCAGAAUGUGAUGUGCAUCACAGGUGAUCCACUAAGAGAUUGCAGAGACAGAAAGAAAUCUCACCCUUUCAUAUAGCCAAGCAGAUACGAUCUGUUACAUACAUGUUCUCAAAAAUAAACAGUAAUUAGUCCUUAAUUAGUCUUCAAGUAAGAGAACUUGAUAGCACCAUUUAUUGCACAUAGUUCAGCCUAAAUUCACCUGGUAAUUGGGGUGUCCACCUGUGUUAGUAGUGGUUUUAUACAAAAGCAAAAUAAACUUUGAUCUUUAUGACAGGAGAUAGUUUUGCAACCGGGAGCAAGGCACCCAGUGAAGUUAGACUCCUACCCCUGAUGGAAACCGGGAGAUAGGGAUGCUCUUAUAUUUCACUGAAACGUAAACAUCAAGGGAGGUAGUGCCCCUACAGCUCCUAGGUCUUUGAGAAAGACAUCCCUGGGUCAUAAAGUUGGCAAGAAGCUUAUUUAACUUCUUAAAAGCUUUUUUUUUCUUUUUCUUGAGACAGGGUCUCACUGUGUCACCUAGGCUGGAGUGCAGUGGCGUAAGCAUGGCUUACUGCAUCCUUGACCUCCCAAGCUCAAUUGAUCCUUCUGCCUGAGCCUCCUGAGUAGCUGAGACUACAGGUGUGCACCACCACACCCAGCUAAUUUUUGUAUUUUUUGUAGAGAUGGAGUCUCCCUGUUGCCCAGGCUGGUCUCAAACUUCUGGGCUCAAGUGAUCCACCUGCCUCAGUCUCUCAAAGUGCUGGGAUUAUAGGCAUGAGCCACUGUACUCAGCUGACACGCAUUUCAAGAUAGAAAAAGAACUUACAGUGACAAAUUUUCUAAAGUAAAUGCUCUAAGAAAAGGGAAGGGAGGGAAAUCUCUUCCCUUAUUUUCAACCAGAAGUAAGCCUCAUUUUAAAUUUGUGUUUGCCUUUACAUCAAGCAAGAGCUCUUCUGUGUUAGCCAUAGUUGCUAGUAACCAUGUUUAGAGAACUCGUAAUUCUCAUCAGCUUAGAAUUUAUUCAUCCAUCCCGUCAUUCAUCAGGUUAUAAUUAAAUCACAUGCACCAGAAACAAGCCUGGACUAUGCUUAUUCAGAAGUGAAUCAGAGGGGCAUAUUCCUUUCAUCAAAGAAAUUUUAUUCCAUAGAAGGAAACAGACAAUAAGCAAAUAAAUAAAUAAAUUUACUUAAUAAUUUAUUUAAAAUCUAAUUACAGGGGCUGUUGAGGGUAAUGACAAAUAAAGUAGCAUGAAGGACAAAGCUGGAUGAGAAGUGUUAUUUUAGGAAGAGCUUUAUGUGGCGAUGGUGUUUUAGCUGAGCCGUGAAGGGGGUGAUGAAGGACUACAGAGAAGAUGAGGGCAGUUAGUCUCAUUAGCAAAGAGAAAUCCAGAAAAACACUGAGAUUUCUGGCCUGAACAAGGGAAUAAAUGUUAGUGGCCUUUACUGUGAGUGGGAACACAGGGAGAAUGUGUGUUUGUGGGAGCGGAGAUAAUUCUGUUUCAAACAUGCAAAAUCUCAGCUGCCUUUUAAACACAAAAGUACGGAUGCUAAGAAGACAAACAGUUAUACAGUUUUUAACUCACAUAUAGUGUGAGGGAGGGAAGGGUAUACAGAUAUGGGAGUCAUCAGUAUAUAGACCUCAUUGAAACCAGGGAUCCAGACUUCCUUUUCUGGCUGUUGGAGUGAUUUGUGGAAAACUCGUGCUCCCAUGAAAAACAGAUUAAGAAGGAAAUAAGAUUUAAAAAAAUUAAUCUGUAUGAAACCUUCAGAGAGCUGCCCAGGCAACAUGGAUUUGAGUGCGCAGAUGGCAAAAGGAAGUGAACUGGCAUGGUGAGCCAGAAUUCGUUAUCUGAUUUUUGCCUGUGGGCAUUUGGCUGUUAAUAGCACGAAGGAGCCUGAAAACCCGGGCACAGGGAGGUCUAGGUAGAGCUGCUGCUAAGAGACCAAGAGGUGAACAAAACGAAGUGACAAAAUUGGAAUGUGUGAUGGCAAGCAGUCAGGAUUUGGAUGGCCAAUAUCCCAGGGAAAGGAGGUAGAAGGAUGAGACCCUAACACCUGGUUUCUCCUUCCACUUCAGGCAUUUGUCAGAUUCUUGGACUGCAUUGAGUAGGGGAAUAAGAAGUUGGGCAGAAAUCCCCUAACAUAUGUCCUGGUUUCUCAGGGCUAAAGAGGAAAACACUGAAUUUCAAGGCCCAACCAAGUCAAGGGCCCCCUUAGUAAAUACACUACACUUUGGGCUGGGUGACCUCAAGGUCCACACCUAA